rnacentral:rRNA from 1 species
GACGAACCGAGCGAACGUUGUUCGGAAUCACUGGGCUUAAAGGGCGCGUAGGCGGGCUGUCAAGUCUGGGGUGAAAUCCCACGGCUUAACCGUGGAACUGCCUGUCAGACUGCAUGGCUUGAGACCAGGAGAGGUGAGUGGAAUUCCCAGUGUAGCGGUGAAAUGCGUAGAUAUUGGGAGGAACACCAGUGGCGAAGGCGGCUCACUGGACUGGUACUGACGCUGAGGCGCGAAAGCGUGGGGAGCAAACAGG